rnacentral:misc_RNA from 1 species
AUGCGAUAAGUAGUGUGAAUUGCAGAAUUCAGUGAAUCAUCGAAUCUUUGAACGCACAUUGCGCCCUUUGGUAUUCCAAAGGGCAUGCCUGUUCGAGCGUCAUUUGUACCCUCAAGCUUUGCUUGGUGUUGGGCGUCUUUUGUCUCUCCCCCGAGACUCGCCUUAAAAACAUUGGCAGCCGGCCUACUGGUUUCGGAGCGCAGCACAUUAUUUGCGCUCUUGUCCAGCCGCGGUCGCGCGUCCAUGAAGCCUUUUUUUUCAACCUUUUGACCUCGGAUCAGGUAGGGAUACCCGCUGAACUUAA